rnacentral:snRNA from 1 species
GUGCUCGCUUCAGCAGCACAUAUACUAAAAUUGGAACGCUACAGAGAAGAUUAGCAUGGCCCCUGCACAAGGAUGACAUGCAAAUUCGAGAAGCGGUCCAUAUUUUU